rnacentral:lncRNA from 1 species
GAAUAAGUUAAUAAUGAGCGGAGAAAAAUAAUUGUAAAAAAUAAUAUUACAAAAACAAAAUAUAACUAUAAAAAUAAGUAAAGUCAAUUACAGAAAUGAAUAAAAAAAAUUUCUGUGCCGACAUACAAGAACAAAAUUAUAUAAUAAUCAUUCCAAUACUUUCGAACAAAAUAAAUAAAUUUAUAUAAUUAAAAUUCAAACAAUAUAUAAUGAAUUUGCUGCAAUUCAGUGGUUUUUGUAUUUAUUUUCCCUACUUUUCUCUAUUCUUACACUGUAAGAAUUAAUAUAUUAUUAUUGUUCAUUUGUAAAGUAUUUUCAUUUUUCCAUUUUAUCCUUCAAUCCUAUUUUAAUUUUUCAACUUAAUUAAUAUAUCACUACUACUACAAAAUUAAUUUUGUAAAUAAUCUAAUAAAUUUUUUUACGUGUUUUAGAAAAUUUCCUGAUAAACUUUUAAAUUAUUUUUAGUGUAAAAGGGGACAUCAUUUAAAAAAUUAAAAAUUUCGAUAACAAGCUAACUUUAAAAAUUCAUCGAAGAUUGUUCGGUAGUCAAAUCCAUAAAUGUUUUAUAUUCUCUCAAACUUCAUUUCGAAAAUUAUAUCAUAGACACAUCGAAUGAUUUAAAUGAAUAUCGAAAAUAGUUAAACGUAUAUCAAACGUGUGUGUUAAAAAAUGCGUAUAACUCAUUUUUUCUUAAAAAAUCAAUUAUUUUCUUAAUGUUUAUUAUUUUCACGAGAUAAUUUUCUUAAUACAGUUUACAUCAUUUUUUUUAUAAAAAAUGUAUGAAGUCAUUUUUUUUUUUAACGUAGGAUAAAUAUUUAGAAUAAUAGAAAGUAAGAGAAUAACAGAAAGUAAGAGAAUAACUAUAAUUGGCGAUUUGGAAGGGAAAACAACGAAUUUUGGCCUCGAAAACGAUGCCCACCCAACGAAAGCGUGGAGUGUUGGCUCCGCACAGCACGAGCGCAACACUGCGCACAGUGUGGAGUGCUAAAAGUUUAGUUUUUUUUGGACGUAUUUUUGGUAAUUUGGCCAUAACUUUUGCUACGAUUAUCAGAAUUGCGCCCAUGACAGGACGUGUGCAUCGAAAAGAGCUUUCCGAAUUGGGGUCAUGGGCGCGAUUCUGAUAACCGUAGCAAAAGUUAUAGCCAAAUUACCAAAAAUACGUAAAAAAAAAAAAAAUUUGAGCACUCCGCGCUGCACAGAGUCACACUAUCCGCACAGCGCGAACUGCUUUCAACAAAAUAUCACAUUAAUAAUCCAUCUAUUAUUCUGUACACAAAAAUAAAUUAUUCAGAAUAAUGUUAACCUAAAAAAUAUUUUGAAAAAAAAAAAAAUGAACAAGUCAACAUGGCUAUCUUAGAACUAACAUACUGUAAAACUUGUUACUUGAACACUGCAAGAUUGAGUUUAAACUGGCAAAAAACUUUAAUAGUGAUCUAUAAAAACCUUUUUGCAUUUUGCAUGAUUUUCCUAAUGUAAUUGUAUUGGUAAACUACAUAUUCUCUAUACGAUAAAUAUAUUAGAAAUCUAUUUUCAUUGGAAAGAAGAUUACCUUUUCUGGUGGUUAAACUUUGUUCGCUUUUGAAAACUUUGAAAAUUGAACAAAAAU